rnacentral:siRNA from 1 species
AGCAAAUGCCUCGCAAUAUUUGC